GUGAAUCAUCAAAUUUUUGAACGCAAAUUGCGCUUCCUGGUGUCCCGGGAAGUAUGCCUGUUUGAGGGUCAGUAUUAACAAAAAAUCGGUUUGGUUGCAAAUUGUGACGUUUCCGGAGUUUGGGCUAUCAUAACUUUUUUGGUUAAGGGGCGUAAAAUUUACCUUAUUUGCGCAUUUUUAGACGUACAUAAAUUUUUUUUUUAAUUCGUCUAUUUUUAAUCCCAAAAUCGUAUUAGA
rnacentral:misc_RNA from 1 species